rnacentral:rRNA from 1 species
CCUACGGGAGGCAGCAGUGGGGAAUCUUGCGCAAUGGGCGAAAGCCUGACGCAGCCAUGCCGCGUGAAUGAUGAAGGUCUUAGGAUUGUAAAAUUCUUUCACCGGGGACGAUAAUGACGGUACCCGGAGAAGAAGCCCCGGCUAACUUCGUGCCAGCAGCCGCGGUAAUACGAAGGGGGCUAGCGUUGCUCGGAAUUACUGGGCGUAAAGGGAGCGUAGGCGGAUAGUUUAGUCAGAGGUGAAAGCCCAGGGCUCAACCUUGGAAUUGCCCUUGAUACUGGCUAUCUUGAGUACGGAAGAGGUAUGUGGAACUCCGAGUGUAGAGGUGAAAUUCGUAGAUAUUCGGAAGAACACCAGUGGCGAAGGCGACAUACUGGUCCGUUACUGACGCUGAGGCUCGAAAGCGUGGGGAGCAAACAGGAUUAGAUACCCUGGUAGUCCACGCUGUAAACGAUGAGUGCUAGUUGUCGGCAUGCAUGCAUGUCGGUGACGCAGCUACGACAUAAGACACUCCGCCGUCGGGAGGUACGGUCGCGAGAAUUAAACUACAAUAGAAGUUAGACGGCGUGAGACGUGCCGAACGGACGACCGACGAGGGAGGAGG